rnacentral:misc_RNA from 1 species
ACCUAGCUAAGCACAAAAUUGAGAAGACAACAGAUGGUGAUUUGGGAAGAGCAGGCAGAUGGUCUGUGGUGAAAUCAUGGAACCCAUGUCCGAUUGGUAUGUUGCCUCGUGAUCUUGGGUCUUCUGGCUGUCUUCCUGUCCUUGACCAUAAUGAUGUCAGUAAGAAGUCUGUGGAUUCAUCAGAAAGGACACAGAUCUCGGUAGCGAAACAUGGUGGUGCAGAAGAACCUAGUUCUAGUAUUCAAUGUGAUAACCCAAGUGCUGAGAGAAGGAGCAAGAGGGAAGCUAGUUAUGAUAUUUGUUUAUUAGAUAGGUCAAGUUUUAAGAAGAUGAGAGAGACUGUAUAUACUUGUGAUUCAGAUGAAGAUACUUUAUUACCAGAUGAUAUCACAAGCUGUCUGGUGAUAAAUGGGGUCUGGAAGAAAGUCGGGGAGGAGCUUCGUGCUAUAAUGUCUGGUGUAGGGACUUUGGUUUAGUCACUGCUUUAUUUAUCAUUUAAUUAUGCAAUUUAUUUAUGAAGAUCAACCUGGAAUCAUGAAAACAUUUGCACAAUUUAGGUAUUGAAGCAGGA